GUUAUAUGGUCAAGCGAAUAAGUGCAUACGGCGGAUGCCUUGGCGACAACAGGCGAUGAAGGACGUGGUAGCCUGCGAUAAGCUUCGGGGAGUCGGCAAACAGACUUUGAUCCGAAGAUUUCCGAAUGGGGAAACCCACCGCUUCGGCGGUAUCGCAUACUGAAUACAUAGGUAUGCGAGGCGAACCCGGGGAACUGAAACAUCUAAGUACCCGGAGGAAAAGAAAUCAACCGAGAUUCCCUUAGUAGCGGCGAGCGAACGGGGAGCAGCCCUUAAGAACGGUCUGGAAAGUCCGGCCAUAGCGGGUGAUAGCCCCGUACACGAAAGGGUAUCAGAGGUGAAAUCGAGUAGGGCGGGACACGUGAAAUCCUGUCUGAAAAUGGGGGGACCAUCCUCCAAGGCUAAAUACUCGUUGUCGACCGAUAGUGAACCAGUACCGUGAGGGAAAGGCGAAAAGAACCCCUGUGAGGGGAGUGAAAUAGAACCUGAAACCGUAUGCAUACAAGCAGUGGGAGCCCCUUCGUGGGGUGACUGCGUACCUUUUGUAUAAUGGGUCAGCGAGUUACUUUUAGUGGCAAGGUUAACCGUAUAGGGGAGCCGUAGGGAAACCGAGUCUUAAUAGGGCGUUUAGUCGCUAGGAGUAGACCCGAAACCAGUCGAUCUAUCCAUGGCCAGGGUGAAGGUGGGGUAAAACCCACUGGAGGCCCGAACCCACUCCCGUUGAAAAGGUAGGGGAUGAGCUGUGGAUAGGGGUGAAAGGCUAAUCAAGGCUGGAGAUAGCUGGUUCUCCCCGAAAGCUAUUUAGGUAGCGCCUCAUGUAUAACUCCCGGGGGUAGAGCACUGUUACGGCUAGGGGGUCGUCUAGACUUACCAACCCGUUGCAAACUCCGAAUACCGGGAAGUUCGAGCAUGGGAGACACACGGCGGGUGCUAACGUCCGUCGUGAAGAGGGAAACAACCCAGACCGCCAGCUAAGGUCCCAAAAUCACAGCUUAGUGGAAAACGAUGUGGGAAGGCUUAGACAGCCAGGAGGUUGGCUUAGAAGCAGCCAUCCUUUAAAGAAAGCGUAAUAGCUCACUGGUCGAGUCGGCCCGCGCGGAAGAUUUAACGGGGCUCAAGUUGUGUACCGAAGCUGCGGGUGUAUGCGUUAAGCAUACGCGGUAGGGGAGCGUUCCGUACGCCUGCGAAGGUGUGCUGUAAGGCAUGCUGGAGGUAUCGGAAGUGCGAAUGCUGACAUGAGUAACGAUAAUGCGGGUGAAAAACCCGCACGCCGAAAGUCCAAGGUUUCCUGCGCAACGUUAAUCGGCGCAGGGUUAGUCGGCCCCUAAGGCGAGACUGAAAAGUGUAGUCGAUGGGAAACAGGUUAAUAUUCCUGUACCUCGCGUUACUGCGAUGGGGGGACGGAGAAGGUUAGGUCAGCCAGGUGUUGGUAGUCCUGGUUUAAGCAUGUAGGGAGUGCUCUUAGGCAAAUCCGGGAGCACAAUCCUGAGGUGUGAUGACGAGCUGCUACGGCAGCGAAGUGAUUGAUGCCAUGCUUCCAAGAAAAUCCUCUAAGCUUCAGGUAACGCAAGACCGUACUCGAAACCGACACAGGUGGACAGGGUGAGUAUCCCAAGGCGCUUGAGAGAACUCGGGUGAAGGAACUAGGCAAAAUAGCACCGUAACUUCGGGAGAAGGUGUGCCCUUUGUAUGUGAAGGCCCUGCGGCCGGAGCAGAAGAGGGUUGCAGUGACCAGGCCGCUGCGACUGUUUAUUAAAAACACAGCACUCUGCAAACACGAAAGUGGACGUAUAGGGUGUGACGCCUGCCCGGUGCCGGAAGGUUAAUUGAUGGGGUCAGCGCAAGCGAAGCUCUUGAUCGAAGCCCCGGUAAACGGCGGCCGUAACUAUAACGGUCCUAAGGUAGCGAAAUUCCUUGUCGGGUAAGUUCCGACCUGCACGAAUGGUCAGUGAAAUUGAAAUAGCGGUGAAGAUGCCGUUUUCCCGCGGCUAGACGGAAAGACCCCGUGAACCUUUACUGUAGCUUUGCACUGAACUUUGAACAUGUUUGUGUAGGAUAGGUGGGAGGCUUUGAAACCAGGACGCCAGUUCUGGUGGAGCCGACCUUGAAAUACCACCCUGACAUGUUCGAGGUUCUAACCUAGGUCCGUUAUCCGGAUCGGAGACAGUGCAUGGUGGGCAGUUUGACUGGGGCGGUCUCCUCCCAAAGAGUAACGGAGGAGCACGAAGGUACCCUCAGCGCGGUCGGACAUCGCGCAAUGAGUGCAAAGGCAUAAGGGUGCUUAACUGCGAGACAGACACGUCGAGCAGGUGCGAAAGCAGGUCUUAGUGAUCCGGUGGUUCUGUAUGGAAGGGCCAUCGCUCAACGGAUAAAAGGUACUCCGGGGAUAACAGGCUGAUACCGCCCAAGAGUUCAUAU
rnacentral:rRNA from 1 species